UGUUAAAAAUUUUAUCCAUUUCUAUUAUUAAAAGCUGGCAUAGCUAACAAACUAACCAAAGAGCGACACGUGUACCUCAUGUUGAUAUAUAGGAUCAAUUUUUAAUAACAAAAAUGGAUGCAUUUUUAACA
rfam:Gossypium raimondii Chr13_contig_23, whole genome shotgun sequence.